rnacentral:rRNA from 1 species
AUGCACGCUGGCGGCGUGCCUAAUACAUGCAAGUCGAGCGAACAGAUGAGGAGCUUGCUCCUCUGACGUUAGCGGCGGACGGGUGAGUAACACGUGGAUAACCUACCUAUAAGACUGGGAUAACUUCGGGAAACCGGAGCUAAUACCGGAUAAUAUAUUGAACCGCAUGGUUCAAUAGUGAAAGACGGUUUUGCUGUCACUUAUAGAUGGAUCCGCGCCGCAUUAGCUAGUUGGUAAGGUAACGGCUUACCAAGGCAACGAUGCGUAGCCGAACUGAGAGGGGGGUCGGCCGCCCGGGAACGGGAACAGGGUCCAGGCGCCUAAGGGAGGCCACAGUAGGGAAACGUCCGCAAUAGGCGGAAACCUGGCGGAACGACGGCAAGUGAGAGGUAGAAGUCCUCGGAGCGGGAAACUCUGUUUUUAGGGGAAAACCAAUUUGGAAGUAAACAAACACGGCUUGACGGUAACUUAUCAAAAAGCCACGGCUAACUACGUG